AAUAUAUAGAGAGCCAGGCCUGCCCGGUGAUAUUAUUUAACGGCCGCGGUACUUUAACCGUGCAAAGGUAGCAUAAUCAUUUGCCCUAUAAUUGAGGGCUUGUAUGAAUGGCUUAACAAGAACAAAACUGUCUCUUAAAAAUUUAUUAAAAUUUGGUUUUUAGGUGAAGAAACCUAAAUUUUAUUGAAAGACAAGAAGACCCUAUCGAGCUUAAAAAAUAUAUUAAUAAUAAUUUGUAUAAAAUUAACACUAAUAAAAUAAAUUGGUUGGGGCGACUAAGGAACAUAUAAAGCUUCCUUUAAAACAUUGAAACUUAUAUGUAUUGAUCCAAAAUAUUUGAUUAAAAAAAUUAGUUACCGUAGGGAUAACAGCAUAAUCUUUUUAGAGAGAACAUAUCGAAAAAAAGGUUUGUGACCUCGAUGUUGGACUAGGAUAUCCAAAUAGAUUGCAGAAGUCUUUAAGGGUUAGUCUGUUCGACUA
rnacentral:rRNA from 1 species